rnacentral:lncRNA from 1 species
UGUCUGGUGGAAGUAUAGCUGCAUCUUCUGUUUCGAAUGAAAAUGAUUCCUUAUCAUUCGAACAUUACCAAAAUUAUCGCUCCCA